rnacentral:rRNA from 1 species
CGCGAAAGGCCUUCGGGCUGAGUAGAGCGGCGGACGGGUGAGUAACGCGUAGGAAUCUACCUGGUAGUGGGGGACAACUUGGGGAAACCCAAGCUAAUACCGCAUACGCCCUACGGGGGAAAGCGGGGGACCUUCGGGCCUCGCGCUAUCAGAUGAGCCUGCGUAGGAUUAGCUUGUUGGUGAGGUAAAGGCUCACCAAGGCGACGAUCCUUAGCUGGUCUGAGAGGAUGAUCAGCCACACUGGAACUGAGACACGGUCCAGACUCCUACGGGAGGCAGCAGUGGGGAAUAUUGCGCAAUGGGCGAAAGCCUGACGCAGCCAUGCCGCGUGUGUGAAGAAGGCCUUCGGGUUGUAAAGCACUUUCAAUUGGGAAGAAAGGUUGCGUGUUAAUAGCACGUAGCUGUGACGUUACCUUUAGAAGAAGCACCGGCUAACUCCGUGCCAGCAGCCGCGGUAAUACGGAGGGUGCGAGCGUUAAUCGGAAUUACUGGGCGUAAAGCGCGCGUAGGCGGUUUGUUAAGUCGGAUGUGAAAUCCCCGGGCUCAACCUGGGAAUUGCAUUCGAUACUGGCCGACUAGAGUACGAGAGAGGGAGGUAGAAUUCCACGUGUAGCGGUGAAAUGCGUAGAUAUGUGGAGGAAUACCGGUGGCGAAGGCGGCCUCCUGGCUCGAUACUGACGCUGAGGUGCGAAAGCGUGGGUAGCAAACAGGAUUAGAUACCCUGGUAGUCCACGCCGUAAACGAUGUCUACUAGCCGUUGGGAGACUUGAUUUCUUAGUGGCGCAGCUAACGCACUAAGUA